CUUCCCAACAAAGGGAAAGAUGAGAAAGAGCUAUGAUGCUAUGAGGAAGGUGCAAGCCAGUGGUAGAGGGGCAACAGACAUGUCCCUGCAGAUGCAGAGGGUUUUUCAGGAGCACUGGCCACUGAGUUGGAGCUGUGUGGUGAGCUGCUAUCGCAAAAGAACAGUUUUCUCCUCCUUUGUGAAAAUAAAUACACAUAGGUUGUGCAAUGUGGGCCUUCUCAUUUUCUGUUUUUCAGGCACGGGCUCGUGGAUCCUGUUUGUUCAUCAGCUCGGCUAAGGCUCCACCUCUACCACUGCCACACCAAUGCCCUGCCCCAAACAAUAAGAAAUCCAAGGGAAGUGUGCUUCUGUGCUAAAAUCACAUAGAAAAAUAUUAUAAAAAGAAAACAGCAAUUAAUUAUUAACAUCAGGUUCCUACUCAGGUCCCCACAUUAUUAGCAUCACAAAUGUAAAAUGGCUGCUGACAAGAUUCAGCUUGGAAAUCUCAUUAGAAGGAAAUGUCACAGUUUAAUCCUGGUGAUAAAUGAUAUUUUAUUGCCUUUUGAAUGGUUAGCUGGUUUGGCUAAACGCAAUGGGUGGCUCCCCUUGAGGUAUAUACUUCUACUGAUGAAUUCAUAUUUUCUGAAGAAUAAUAAAUAUGUGCUAAUUUUUCUAAGCAAUCCUGAAAAUAUUUAAUGUUGCCAAAGAAUGCAGUCAUCUAAAUGGCACACUGUAGUACAAAAGAAAAAGAAUAACGAUACGGUAAUACAAAAAAGGCAAAAUCAUAAUAAGGAGGGACAUUUGUCAGUAUACUCAGAAAAGCACAAUCUGUCUCCCUGGUAAUUUGGUGGAGUACAGAAAGUAUUACAUGCCGUAUUACAAGUAUUACAUUUUAUUUCUGACUUCAAGUAUCGUUACCAUAUGUUCAAAGUCAGACAUGACCUCUUAAAUAUAGCAUGUUCUUUGUUCGUGCUGUGCGGGCUUCAUCCUGCUUGGACAGGAUUUUUUAUUCUGAAAAAAUUAAAGAGAAUAUAAAUCUUCCAGUGCCAGAAGACUUCAUAUCAGCCAGCUUUUGUGGAUUGAUUGGACAGCAAUAAUCUGGUUCCUACUGACCAGGGAAACUUGACAGCCAGACCUGGUUAAAGCCCAAAAAGCCAAGAAGCAAUGAUAAGCAUCCAGUAGGAGAAGCCUGGGCUGGACAGUCUCCCUCUGGUCUCACAAUCCCUGUACUUUGGCAAUAAAAGAUCAAGGAUAUCCUGGAGGUGUCAUAAUUCCCAAAGGAGAACCGUGGGGUGCUCUGGAGGUGACCUGGGAAGGUCAGCUGCUGUCUCUUGAACCAGCCUGAAUUUUACAUUCUUCUCUCCAGAGCUGAGGUUACUUCUCAGCUGACUGGAUUACAUCUGUCCGCUUUGGAAGUCAACAAUGUUCAGAACCAAGUCAGCAUAUGGCAGCCAUGGACUGGGUCUCCUGCCAUUACCAGAUGAAAAAUAUUGUUCUAUCAGUCUUGACUAAUGGAAAACCAAUAGAAAUAGAAAAGCUCAUGGUGAUU